CCCUAGCCCCGAUAGGAACGACAUCCUUUUUGGUUCGGGCGGAGCGAAGCGGAGCCCGUAACCAAAAAGAUACAGUGGAUAGCGGGAAAUAGC
rnacentral:sRNA from 1 species